CCUUCUUCCACUCUUCUUUCCUUCUUCUACUCUUCUUUUCUUUCUUCACUCUUCUUUCCUUCUUCUUUCUUUUCUUCUUUCCUUUCUUCACUCUUCUUUCCUUUCUUCUUUCCUUCUUCCACUCUUCUUUCCUUCUUCUACUCUUCUUUUCUUUCUUCACUCUUCUUUCCUUCUUCCACUCUUCUUUCCUUCUUCUACUCUUCUUUUCUUUCUUCACUCUUCUUCCACUCUUCUUUCCUUCUUCCACUCUUCUUUCCUUUCUUCUUUCCUUCUUCCACUCUUCUUUCCUUCUUUCUCUCUUCUUUCUUUUCUUCUUUCCUUCUUCCACUCUUCUUUCCUUCUUUCACUCUUCUUUCUUUUCUUCUUUCCUUCUUCCACUCUUUUUUCCUUCUUUCACUCUUCUUUCCUUCUUUCCUUCUUUCACUUUUCUUUUUUUUUCUUCUUUCCUUCUUCCACUCUUCUUUUCUUUCUUCACUCUUCUUUCUUUUCUUCUUUCCUUCUUCUUUACUUCUUCCACUCUCCUUUCCUUUCUUCUUUCCUUCUUAUACUUUUCUUUUUUUUCCUCUUUCCUUCUUCUUUCCUUUCUUCACUCUUCUUUCCUUCUUCUACUCUUCUUUUCUUUCUUCACUCUUCUUUCCUUCUUCCACUCUUCUAUCCUUCUUCCACUCUUCUUUCCUUCUUUUACUCUUCUUUCCUUUCUUCUUUCCUUCUUUCUUUUCUUCUUCCACUCUUCUUUCCUUUCUUCUUUCCUUCUUUCACUCUUCUUUCUUUUCUUCUUUCCUUUCUUCACUCUUCUUUUCUUUAUUCUUUCCUUCUUCCACUCUUCUUUUCUUUCUUCUUUCCUUCUUCCACUCUUCUUUUCUUUCUUCACUCUUCUUUCCUUCUUCCACUCUUCUUUCCUUUCUUCUUUCACUCUUCUUUCUUUUCUUCUUUCCUUUCUUCACUCUUCUUUUCUUUAUUCUUUCCUUCUUCCACUCUUCUUUCCUUCUUCCACUCUUCUUUCCUUUCUUCACUCUUCUUUCCUUUCUUCUUUCCUUCUUCCACUCUUCUUUCCUUCUUCCUCUCUUCUUUCCUUCUUUCCUUUCUUCUUUCCUUUCUUCUUUCACUCUUCUUUCUUUUCUUCUUCCUUUCUUAACUUUAGCAUUUCAUGCACUGGUAUUUCCUUCAGGAAAUGCAUUUUCUAGUUCUUCUUCUUCUUAUUAUUCUCUUUACCGACUUCUGCGCUUAAUUCAGCUCGAAGCGCUUAACUUAGAAACUCCGUUCAAACUUUGGCGCGUAGGUCUUGUAAAGGACACUUAUGCUAUGUAUUUUUCAUUUUUCUAAACUUUAUACUUUUUAAAAUAUUAAAUAAAAACUAAUACAAUUUCUCCCAUUGACUUACAUUGGGCCAUUAUGACAUCAUAAUAGGGUCUUUAAACUGGCUUGCACCUGUGCUUCACUGACACCUGCGCCAAGGUUCCAAGACUCCUCUUCUCUCUGUCCCUC
ensembl:lncRNA